rnacentral:rRNA from 1 species
UACGGGGGGGGGAAGCGUUGUUCGGAAUUACUGGGCGUAAAGGGCUCGUAGGCGGCCAACUAAGUCAGACGUGAAAUCCCUCAGCUUAACUGGGGAACUGCGUCUGAUACUGGAUGGCUUGGAUCCGGGAGAGGGAUGCGGAACUCCAGGUGUAGCGGUGAAAUGCGUAGAUAUCUGGAGGAACACCGGUGGCGAAGGCGGCAUCCUGGACCGGUAUUGACGCUGAGGAGCGAAAGCCAGGGGAGCAAACGGG